CAGCCGCCGCGGGAAUACAGAGGGUGCGAGCGUUAAUCGGAUUUACUGGGCGUAAAGCGUGCGUAGGCGGCUUCUUAAGUCGGAUGUGAAAUCCCUGAGCUUAACUUAGGAAUUGCAUUCGAUACUGGGAAGCUAGAGUAUGAGAGAGGAUGGUAGAAUUCCAGGUGUAGCGGUGAAAUGCGUAGAGAUCUGGAGGAAUACCGAUGGCGAAGGCAGCCAUCUGGCCUAAUACUGACGCUGAGGUACGAAAGCAUGGGGAGCAAACAGGAUUAGAUACCCCAGUAGUCCCUGUCUCUUAUAC
rnacentral:rRNA from 1 species